GACGGAGGAGGCAAGCGUUAUCCGGAAUUAUUGGGCGUAAAGCGUACGCAGGUGGCAGAACAAGUCUUUUGUCAAAGACUGGGGCUUAACCCUGGGAAGGCAGAGGAAACUGUUUAGCUAGAGUGCGGUAGGGGCAGGAGGAAUUCCCGGUGUAGCGGUGAAAUGCGUAGAUAUCGGGAAGAACACCAGCGGCGAAAGCGUCCUGCUAGGCCGUAACUGACACUCAUGUACGAAAGCUAGGGGAG
rnacentral:rRNA from 1 species